rnacentral:rRNA from 1 species
GGAAUCUUCGGCAAUGGGGGCAACCCUGACCGAGCAACGCCGCGUGAGUGAAGAAGGUUUUCGGAUCGUAAAGCUCUGUUGUUAAAGAAGAACACGUAUGAGAGUAACUGUUCAUACGUUGACGGUAUUUAACCAGAAAGUCACGGCUAACUACGUGCCAG